AUGACAACUUGGAAAUAGUAUUACACUUAUGAGGAAGUGAAUGUAGCUGAAAAGGGGAACAGAGGCAGAAUGUGACAGUAUGUGAUAUAAAAAUAAGAUAACAUUUACAUUUCAUCCUUUGAGAAGCUCCCUGGCUGCUCUCACAUGUUCCAUUUUCUCCAGUUCACACUUCAUAGUGCAACUUCAGAUUUUAUAGCCUGAGCACAUUUAAAAUUCAGGCCUCAGUUGUGUAGUAUUGCGUCUUGCAGCAGGAAUCUGUAUGUUAACACAGUGUUGAUGGGACCUUUGUUAAGAACGGAACUUCUUUGGGAUCCUCACAAAUGGCUGUGGAUGGUACAAGAAAAGUGUUGUCAACGGAGUUGGCCAAAACUGUAAAAAGCUGGUUACCAACUACGAGCCAGAACCAGAGGCCUCCCAACUACGCUUUGAAGCCACAUAUCUGCAAAGCUGCUUCUCCUCGGCUCUUCAGCAGACGACAGUUUUCCAGGUGCAUUUUGCCAGAUCGUCGCCAGGCUUCCAGCCAUUCCUGCCUGCCUCCUGCCUGUUUCCUCCUCCGACUACCUGUUGCUGAUGUCCUGCCCGACUGCCUGUGACCUUCUGCCUUUGUUACACAGGACAGCUGAGAAUGUGAAAGAGAGGGGGAAUGACAUGCAGCAAAGAGCCACAGGUGGGAACUGAAUCUGCGUCCGCUGCGCCAAGGACUGGGCCCCCGUAAAUGGGACGCACGCUUAUAUAAUCCAGCCUCCUGUCAGGCAGCAGGGGAGACAGAGCUUGUUGGUGCAUGAAGAUAAGUUUUUAAUCCCAUGCAAUGAAUAACUGCUUGUUUUUGACAUACCCUAAAUUAAGUAAACAUGAUCCAAGAAUGGAAUGGCUAUUCUAGUUAUCCUUUUCACGAUAACUGUUGUGAAUAUGUUACACUCCAUUUUGUGAUAAUUGAACAAAGCCUCUAAUCUGUUUUAAUUGGUAUCAUAAAUUGUUACACUUUUCUUCCCUGAAGAUUUAUCUGCGUGAAACUGCCUUGAACCAAUCCUCCUUUCCUGCCCCAUUUUUAUCUAUCUACUCUUACGUCUUUAAAGUAAAUGGAGCGAUUGUUAGAAAAU